rnacentral:tRNA from 1 species
GGUAAUGUGGCCGAGUAUUAGGCGGCGAGUUGUAGCCUCGCUAACCGAGGGUGACCUCGCGAUACCAAGUC